UACGUAGGUGGCAAGCGUUGUCCGGAAUUACUGGGUGUAAAGCGCGUGUAGGCGGCAGACCAAGUCGGCGGUGAAAGCGCCCGGCUCAACUGGGCGAGGUCCGUGGAAACUGGUCAGCUGGAGGACGGUAGAGGCGAGUGGAAUUCCCGGUGUAGUGGUGAAAUGCGUAGAGAUCGGGAGGAACACCUGUGGCGAAGGCGGCUCGCGUGGGCCGGUCCUGACGCUGAGACGCGAAGGCGUGGGGAGCGAACGGG
rnacentral:rRNA from 1 species